rnacentral:rRNA from 1 species
ACGCACGCUGGCGGCGUGCUUCACACAUGCAAGUCGAACGGAAAGGCCCUGCUUUUGUGGGGUGCUCGAGUGGCGAACGGGUGAGUAACACGUGAGUAACCUGCCCUUGACUUUGGGAUAACUUCAGGAAACUGGGGCUAAUACCGGAUAGGAGCUCCUGCUGCAUGGUGGGGGUUGGAAAGUUUCGGCGGUUGGGGAUGGACUCGCGGCUUAUCAGCUUGUUGGUGGGGUAGUGGCUUACCAAGGCUUUGACGGGUAGCCGGCCUGAGAGGGUGACCGGCCACAUUGGGACUGAGAUACGGCCCAGACUCCUACGGGAGGCAGCAGUGGGGAAUAUUGCACAAUGGACGGAAGCCUGAUGCAGCAACGCCGCGUGCGGGAUGACGGCCUUCGGGUUGUAAACCGCUUUCGCCUGUGACGAAGCGUGAGUGACGGUAAUGGGUAAAGAAGCACCGGCUAACUACGUG